UACGAGGGGGGCAAGCGUUGUUCGGAAUUAUUGGGCGUAAAGGGCGCGUAGGCGGUGCGGUAAGUCACCUGUGAAAACUCUGGGCUCAACUCAGAGCCUGCAGGCGAAACUGCCGUGCUUGAGUGUGGGAGAGGUGCGUGGAAUUCCCGGAGUAGCGGUGAAAUGCGCAGAUAUCAGGAGGAACACCAAUUGCGAAGGCAGCUCGCUGGGACGUUACUGACGCUGAGACGCGAAAGCGUGGGGAGCAAACAGG
rnacentral:rRNA from 1 species